GAUGAACGCUGGCGGCGUGCUUAACACAUGCAAGUCGAACGGAAAGGCCCAAGCUUGCUUGGGUACUCGAGUGGCGAACGGGUGAGUAACACGUGGGUGAUCUGCCCUGCACUUCGGGAUAAGCCUGGGAAACUGGGUCUAAUACCGGAUAGGACCACAUUUUGGAUGGUGUGGUGGAAAGUUUUUCGGUGUGGGAUGAGCUCGCGGCCUAUCAGCUUGUUGGUGGGGUAAUGGCCUACCAAGGCGUCGACGGGUAGCCGGCCUGAGAGGGUGUACGGCCACAUUGGGACUGAGAUACGGCCCAGACUCCUACGGGAGGCAGCAGUGGGGAAUAUUGCACAAUGGGCGCAAGCCUGAUGCAGCGACGCCGCGUGGGGGAUGACGGCCUUCGGGUUGUAAACUCCUUUCGCUAGGGACGAAGCGUUAUGUGACGGUACCUGGAGAAGAAGCACCGGCUAACUACGUGC
rnacentral:rRNA from 1 species